rnacentral:lncRNA from 1 species
GAAAACAUUAAAAUACAGAGAAAUCAAAUCAAUUGAAAAAGGUUGCGGUUAUUCCUUUUCUAAUUUAUCUUGUUUUUUUCUCUUCUUUUUUUAGUGUGUUCUUACUUUGUGAUUGCAAAAAAAUAACAGAAUAAGGAAGGAAGAGGGCUUACCAGAACACGGCCUUGAAUCAAGGUUGAAAACCCAUUUUUUAAGUGCUGCUAGCCACCGAGUGUGGUGGUGUUUCAGUUUUGCGGUGGGGGGAAAGAACCAAUCGGCGCAUGGAGAUUGGGAUGUAGCCUUAGCAGAGCAAGAAUGGGAACGCUUUUUUUUAAUUUGAUGCAAAUGGUUUUGGGCAAACAAAAUGGUUUAAUAUUUUAUGUAUAAUAAAAUGGUGUUGUUUGGGUUAAAUGGGUAGGAUCUGCACAUUCUAGCCUAAAAUGGGAAAUUUCAUGAUCAAUCCCCAUCUUUUGCACCGCUAUUUAAUUAGGCUCUAUUCAUUUUUCUUAUUUGUUUUUAAAUUUUUGCCCGGGAAUUUGGUGUCAAUUACAUUUUAGUCCGCAUUGAAGCACCGUGUUUUGGAGAUUUGGGUUAUUUUCAUUUUUAAUCCUCGCUCGUUUGUGCAC